rnacentral:rRNA from 1 species
CCAGACUCCUACGGGAGGCAGCAGUGAGGAAUAUUGGUCAAUGGGAGAGAUCCUGAACCAGCCAAGCCGCGUGAGGGAAGACGGCCCUAUGGGUUGUAAACCUCUUUUGUCGGAGAACAAAACCCGGGACGUGUCCCGGACUGCGUGUAUCCGAAGAAAAAGCAUCGGCUAACUCCGUGCCAGCAGCCGCGGUAAUACGGAGGAUGCGAGCGUUAUCCGGAUUUAUUGGGUGUAAAGGGCGUGUAGGCGGGAGCGCAAGUCAGAUGUGAAAACUCAGGGCUCAACCCUGAGCCUGCAUUUGAAACUGUGUUUCUUGAGUGCUGGAGAGGCAAUCGGAAUUCCGUGUGUAGCGGUGAAAUGCGUAGAUAUACGGAGGAACACCAGUGGCGAAGGCGACUUUCUGGACUGUACCUGACGCUGAGGCGCGAAAGCGUGGGUAGCGAACGGGAUUAGAUACCCGUGUAUC